AAGAUAUGACAUUGAAACUUUUUGAAGACUAGGUAUGAAGUUGUUAAUGACCUAAUAGUUGAAGUAGUUUUAUGUAAUUUAUCCAAAAAUUAAUAUAAGAUGUUAACGUAGCUUAACCGUGAUCAUUCAAAUAGGAGGGGAGGGAAGGGAUGGGAAAAAAAGAAAUGAGAGAAUCCUACUCCUCAUUGGAUUGAUGUCGAGGUUCUGGUACUGGUAGUUUUCAAUGUCUUUUCUCAAACACUCUACAUUAGGUAAGCAAUGAAGAUUCAGAAACUUAUCAUCUAUUUGUAAUAUUUCUCCAAUAAAUAUAUGUAGAUCUCAUCUAUAUUAGAGAAAUUGUACAAAUAAAUGGUAAGAUUGAAGUUGUUUUAUAACUCUUCAUGUUAAUAAGAGUAAAAACUAAAUAAAGUUCUCUGAGUUUUAAUAAAGAAAUUGUUAUUGACAUUCCAAAAAUCUAAUCUCGCACUCUAAAUUUUUUAUAAUUAAAUAGAAAAAUACAAUUGUGAGAAAUAUAGAAUAAGAUUUUUAGAAUGCUAAUAACAAUUGCCUUUAAUAAUAAUAAUAUGAUAAAAUGACCGACAAAUUAAAACCUUAACAUCUUUGGAAAUUGAUGUUCAAUAUAUAAUUGAAAAGAUCGUAUAUCAGAUGUUAAAUUGGCAGAUUUCGGUUGUUUAGUUUGUAAGUUACGAAGAAUCGAAUACUCAACCGAUCAUAUAUAUAAAGUUUGCACAUAAUUUAAUAGUUUGAAUUAAUCUACUUGAGUUUAUUCGGUGUUCGAUUUGGUUCUAUUGAAUAGUUUUUGGUAGAAAUGAGUCCCCUACAACAAAAUGUAAUAUACGGAGUGGAAGUAGGAUUCUCUCCCCUCUUAUUACCAUCCCCUCCUCUCACACUCUUAUCUUUUUCUUAUUCUCUAUAUAAAAAAUUCAAAACAAGAUGUACACGUGGCGAAAUCUCAACCUUUUAAAUAGAAGAGGAUGGAAGAGGAAAUAGAUUAAGAUGGGAGAGAAUCUUACUCCUACGGAAUGGUGGGCAGAGAAGUUACUAACUUGUAAUUCAGGGAGUGAUAGGUUUGUUUCAUCUGCUAUUGUUAAGUCAUUUGAAUUUUGAUUUAUAUGGAUGGUUUUAGACUUUGAGUUGGUGUAUAUAUGUUUGGGUGGGUUGUUGUCUAGAUUUUAAUUUCCUCAUCAGAAAUCAUAGAAACAGAAUCCUAGGUUUACUUGUCCUUUACUGCAUAUAUUUCCCUCCUCUGUCUUGUCAAAAAGGUAAACUUCACUAAAGAUCAAGGAAAAUGACCAUUUGUGAUAGAUGGAUUAAGUCCAAACAAAACACAAAACCUUAAAUAAACAAAGAGAGAUAAUAGAAAAAAAAGGAGCUGAAGAAGAGCUACAAUCCAAGAUACAAUAUAAUACUCACACAAGCUUAGGCCGUAGGCAACAAAAACAAACAAUAAAAAAAACUCUAAACUCAACCAGUAGAACUCAAACUGCCCCUGCCACCGCUCAUCCCCUUGGGAAGCCAGCACCCCAAAAUUAAAAUAGCACCCACACCAAAAACUAGAUCCGAAGAAGGUAUGUUCAACAAUCGGAUAUCUAAUUCAUUAUUAUGAGUUGGAAAAGAGGAGAGGGAGCAAAGGAGAGAAAGGAAAAGAAGGUUUGUCCUGACGUAUUUUAUAUAACGGAACUUUAAGCCGUUAUUUUUUGGUUAUUCAAUCAUUGACCAAAGAUCUAACGGUCAUGGAAUUUCUUUUAUAUUGAGACAGAAACCACAUAGGAUGGUGGGAUGUAGCUGGUCUGCAUCUCUUUUCCCCUCAUGAAUGUAAACCAAAAGUCCCAUUGAGAAAGAGAAUGAUUUACAUGAAAUAGAUUUAUCGUCACGUGACAUUUUUUGUCCAAUAAUGCAUUGUUAUGUGUAAGUUUUUCUCUACAUAACAAUAUCUUAUUGAAUUGAGACGCUAUGUAAUAAUAAUUAUGUGUCAUGUAAGUUGUUUUUAUUAGAAAGGAGAAACAUCAGCGACAAGCUUAGGUCUCCUAAUCUAGAAAGAGAACCAUUGGGAAGCAAGAAAAAUGUUGGACAAUACACGACAGACAAGUCUAUGUAGAUGGCAUUGGUAUGCAAAAUCAUCCAACUGAUUUGAAGCUCUACAUAUAUAUUAUAUAGUACGAGUAACCUUUUAGCAUGAGACUGUAGCUGCAGAAAAAUAGAAUGCAGGCUCUGUUUUUAACUAACGCCAAGGUUUGCCACAUCAAGGAUAACUAGUUUAAAUCGUCCCGUCAAUUGAUUUUAUGUUGAAUUCUAACAUAGUUAUUAGAACAAGUUAUUUAAGUGUUAGAAUUAGGAUCUCUAACAAUUUUCUUUUUAAUUUUAUUGGUUUAGCUAGUGAAUGUUUCAUUCACUUUGAAUAAUAGUACUGUUAUGGUGGCUAAAGACUAGAAAGAUACAAGGAGUGGGUUGCUUUAUUUAGACGUGGUUGGGAUAAUUUUCAAUUAAAAAAAAGUUAUUCCUUCCUCAAAUUAGGUGUCGUGGUCUAAUUUCUUGUAAGUCUUUAUAAAUUU
rnacentral:lncRNA from 1 species